rnacentral:rRNA from 1 species
UACGGGGGGGGCAAGCGUUGUUCGGAAUUACUGGGCGUAAAGGGCUCGUAGGCGGCCAACUAAGUCGGAUGUGAAAUCCCCAGGCUCAACCUGGGAACUGCAUCCGAUACUGGAUGGCUUGAAUUCGGGAGAGGGAUGCAGAAUUCCAGGUGUAGCGGUGAAAUGCGUAGAUAUCUGGAGGAAUACCGGUGGCGAAGGCAGCAUCCUGGACCGACAUUGACGCUGAGGAGCGAAAGCCAGGGGAGCAAACGGG